rnacentral:rRNA from 1 species
AGUUGGUGGAGUGAUUUGUCUGGUUAAUUCCGUUAACGAACGAGACCUCAGCCUGCUAAAUAGUUGUACACUACUCUUAGUGCAGCAACUUCUUAGAGGGACUAUGUGCGUUUAGCACAUGGAAGUUUGAGGCAAUAACAGG